rnacentral:pre_miRNA from 1 species
GUUCUCUGCCCAUGAGGAGUUUACAGUCUAAAGGGAGGACAUCUAGAGUCUAACCCCCCUCUAGAUUGUGAGCUUGUUGUGGGCAGGGAUU